ACAAGCAGCGGAGCGUGUGGUUUAAUUCGAUGAUACACGAAGAACCUUACCAAGGUUUGACAUGCAAGUGGUAGUGAACUGAAAGGGAACGACCCUUCGGGGAGCUUGCACAGGUGCUGCAUGGCUGUCGUCAGCUCGUGUCGUGAGAUGUUCGGUUAAGUCCGCUAACGAGCGCAACCCUCACUGUGUGCUAUACGUGUCACACGGGACCGCCGGUUUUAAGCCGGAGGAAGGUGGGGAUGACGUCAAGUCAGCAUGGCCUUUAUAUCUUGGGCCACACACACGCUACAAUGGCCAGUACAAUGGGAUGCCAAGCCGCAAGGCGGAGCCAACCCUCAAAGCUGGUCUCAGUUCGGAUUGCAGGCUGCAACUCGCCUGCAUGAAGCCGGAACCGCUAGUAAUCGCGGAUCAGCAUGCCCGCGGUCGAAUACGUUCCGGGCCUU
rnacentral:rRNA from 1 species